CUUUGAACUAAAAAGUAGACUCACCUUUAAGGUUGCCUCAUCCAAUGAUUUUACUUCCUCUAUAAGUUUCUUCAGUUCUUCAGGGGAAAGCAGAGAGAUGACUGACUGUCCUGACAUACCGGAUGCUUGAGGUACCACUGGAGGACAUUUUGGGGAGCAAAGAUUGGAAGGGGACUGAGGAGCACUCAAAGUUUCAAAGGAGCUUAUUCUCUGUUUUAUUGAUGAUCCUCUGGGUGAGACCCGGGAUAAACUAGAACCCAGUCCUAUACCGGAAAUACCCUGAGGGUCAGCAGAAUUCUGAUCUGCC